CAGAAAGCAGAGGGGAGGAAGCUCCACCGUCAUGAGAAUGGGAAGCAGAGGCAGCGGCAGCGUGCACAGACAUCCUUUGAAGGUUUGUUAUAAACACAGAAACUGAUGUCUGGGAAAAGACAACACAGCGGAACAUAUCCAAGGGACAACAGUUUACCUGCCUCCCAGAAGGAUGCUGAGUAGCCAUGUCAACUCUCUCAACCAACAACAGUCAAUGUAGCUCAAAGUGCAGGGUGGAUGUGAGAUGAGACAUUUGAGAGAGAGUGAGCAAACCCUGCUGGAAUAAAGAUAACCUGGCCUCAUAUUAACAUCAAAUGUCUAGAAUUCCAAAAACAGAAGAUCACACAAACUAUGCUAACUCCGAGUGGAAUUUCAAGACAUUAAUGUAAGAGAGGGUGACCAAACCAUGCUGGAGUAAAGAUAACCUGUCCAGUAUUAUCCCAACGGACUGCUUGACAAAUCAUGAUUUGCCAAACUUAAUUCAGAUGGAGUCUUGCUCUGUCACCAGGCUG
rnacentral:lncRNA from 10 species